rnacentral:rRNA from 1 species
GACGAACGCUGGCGGCGUGCUUAACACAUGCAAGUCGAGCGAUGAAGUUCCUUCGGGAAUGGAUUAGCGGCGGACGGGCGAGUAACACGUGGGUAACCUGCCUCAUAGAGGGGAAUAGCCUUUCGAAAGGAAGAUUAAUACCGCAUAAGAUUGUAGUAUCGCAUGAUACAGCAAUUAAAGGAGUAAUCCGCUAUGAGAUGGACCCGCGUCGCAUUAGCUAGUUGGUGAGGUAACGGCUCACCAAGGCGACGAUGCGUAGCCGACCUGAGAGGGUGAUCGGCCACAUUGGGACUGAGACACGGCCCAGACUCCUACGGGAGGCAGCAGUGGGGAAUAUUGCACAAUGGGGGAAACCCUGAUGCAGCAACGCCGCGUGAGUGAUGACGGUCUUCGGAUUGCAAAACUCUGUCUUCAGGGACGAUAAUGACGGUACCUGAGGAGGAAGCCACGGCUAACUACGUGCCAGCCGCCGCGGUAA